CUAGCUGUAAACGAUGGAUACUAGGCGUUGAGAGUAUCGACCCUCUCAGUGUCGUAGCUAACGCGUUAAGUAUCCCGCCUGGGGAGUACGCGCGCAAGCGUGAAACUCAAAGGAAUUGACGGGGGCCCGCACAAGCGGUGGAGUAUGUGGUUUAAUUCGAUGCAACGCGAAGAACCUUACCAGGGCUUGACAUGUCCGGAACCCUGCCCAAAGGCGGGGGUGCCUACGAGAACCGGAACACAGGUGGUGC
rnacentral:rRNA from 1 species